rnacentral:pre_miRNA from 1 species
CAUGUACUCCCUCCGUCCGGAAAUACUUGUCAUCAAAAUGAAUAAAAGGGGAUGUAUUUAGAUGUAUUUUAGUUUUAGAUACAUCCUUUUUUGUCCAUUUUGAUGACAAGUAUUUUCGGACGGAGGGAGUAUGUG